GGGCCCGCACAAGCGGUGGAGCAUGUGGUUUAAUUCGAUGAUACGCGAGGAACCUUACCAGGGCUUAAAUGUAGUCUGACAGAUUUGGAAACAGAUUUUUCUUCGGACAGAUUACAAGGUGCUGCAUGGUUGUCGUCAGCUCGUGCCGUGAGGUGUCAGGUUAAGUCCUAUAACGAGCGCAACCCCUGUGGUUAGUUGCCAGCGAGUCAAGUCGGGAACUCUAGCCAGACUGCCGGUGCAAACCGUGAGGAAGGUGGGGAUGACGUCAAAUCAUCACGGCCCUUACGUCCUGGGCCACACACGUGCUACAAUGGUAGGUACAGAGAGCAGCCACGUCGCAAGGCGGAGCGAAUCUAUAAAACCUAUCACAGUUCGGAUCGGGGUCUGCAACUCGACCCCGUGAAGCUGGAAUCGCUAGUAAUCGCAUAU
rnacentral:rRNA from 1 species